GAUGAACGCUGGCGGCGUGCCUAAUACAUGCAAGUCGAACGCUUCACUUCGGUGAAGAGUGGCGAACGGGUGAGUAAUACAUAAGUAACCUGGCAUCUACAGGGGGAUAACUGAUGGAAACGUCAGCUAAGACCGCAUAGGUGUAGAGAUCGCAUGAACUCUAUAUGAAAAGUGCUACGGGACUGGUAGAUGAUGGACUUAUGGCGCAUUAGCUUGUUGGUAGGGUAACGGCCUACCAAGGCGACGAUGCGUAGCCGACCUGAGAGGGUGACCGGCCACACUGGGACUGAGACACGGCCCAGACUCCUACGGGAGGCAGCAGUAGGGAAUUUUCGGCAAUGGGGGAAACCCUGACCGAGCAACGCCGCGUGAAGGAAGAAGUAAUUCGUUAUGUAAACUUCUGUCAUAGAGGAAGAACGGUGGAUAUAGGGAAUGAUAUCCAAGUGACGGUACUCUAUAAGAA
rnacentral:rRNA from 1 species